rnacentral:rRNA from 1 species
AUUGAACGCUGGCGGCAUGCCUUACACAUGCAAGUCGAACGGCAGCAUGGGUGCUUGCACCUGAUGGCGAGUGGCGAACGGGUGAGUAAUGCAUCGGAACGUACCCGGAAGUGGGGGAUAACGUAGCGAAAGUUACGCUAAUACCGCAUAUUCUGUGAGCAGGAAAGCGGGGGAUCGCAAGACCUCGCGCUUCCGGAGCGGCCGAUGUCGGAUUAGCUAGUUGGCGGGGUAAAGGCCCACCAAGGCAACGAUCCGUCGCGGGUCUGAGAGGAUGAUCCGCCACACUGGGACUGAGACACGGCCCAGACUCCUACGGGAGGCAGCAGUGGGGAAUUUUGGACAAUGGGGGCAACCCUGAUCCAGCCCUGCCGCGUGAGUGAAGAAGGCCUUCGGGUUGUAAAGCUCUUUCGGCUGGGAAGAAAUCGCAUCUCCUAAUACGGGGUGUGGAUGACGGUACCAGCAUAAGAAGCACCGGCUAACUACGUGCCAGCAGCCGCGGUAACAC